CGCAUGACAUCCAAUGACGUCAUUGGAUAUAUCGCGCUCUCACUUCAGAUAUUCUGGUCUAUUAUAAAUUAUAAACAAACAAUUGAAUGAAAGAUCAUUACUCUUUGGGGUAUUAUGUCAUUUAUACCAAAUUAAAAUUUCAUCAAAUCAAGGCGAUUUGAAGCAAAAAGACCAACAGUUCAUUCUAUUUUGAAGUGCUAUUCAUCGUACAAAUUUUCAUCACUUGAUUGCUUUGAUUGACGAAUUAUAUAAUAAUAAAAACAUAGUUUAAGUUGAAAACUAAAAACUUAUAUUACUCAUAGUAGUUCCUCUUUUAUUUAAUAAAAUUUACCAUUAUCUCUACAAAUUCAGAGAUUACUUAAAUCAUUUAUAGCCAAUAUAUUAUGUAUAUUUUUAGAUUUAUUAAUUAUAAUAAUAGAUACACUUGCAUCGCUCAUUACGAAUAUU
rnacentral:lncRNA from 1 species